CAAUUGGGUACCAUCUUCACUACUUGAGUGAUGGGUACACCAGAAGCCCAAUCCCCACCAUGAUAAAAUACACCCAUGAAACAAGCACAGGUACACCCUGAAUCUAAAAUUAAACAUGUUUAAAAAGCAAAGGCUUUCAGGGGUGUUUGCAAUAAGCAGCCUCUGGGGCACACGUGAAUGUCAAGGAGGUGUGGGCAGGGCACAGGCAGCACCUGCUACACACAGGAACCAAAACACUAGUGCCAAAGCCAGGAUGCUAGGUAAGCAGCUCACUGCAGGGCACGGGGAGCAAGAAGACUGCACAGCGAGUCAUAGGCAGCGCAAGAUGGGGAACUGGGAGACAGCACAUAGCUGAAGAGAGAAGAGCAGAGAGCGGGGGCAUGACACAACACCUCCCGUGGCCACGGAUGCCAGGAGCUCCGCUGCUGAUUUCUGCCCCUGCCCUUCUCUGGCCUCCUAGGUGGGCUUCUAAGUGGGCCCAGGACUCAGCAUCUGAGAGAAGAGUCCUACAAAAUGCAAGACUAAGGCAACAUUGUCAGGCAUCAAAGGUGUCUUCAGGGCCUCUCUUGAUGCUUGCUUCUCUCCCUUUGGAAACUCUGAGUUGUGACCCCUGUGCUCAGUCACCUCCAGCUGAGGCAGGGGCCAGGAUGAUCCAAGGGAACCACAAAUUGUGUAGGAAGCAAUAGGCAACCUGGGAGAAGGUAAGUGCCUGUGUUAGUCCAGGUCUGAGGAUCACAUGCGAAGACAGGAUGAAACAUGCAAGGGUUGUAUCAGCGGAAAUGCCUGGAUGGAGACUAGGUGGAGAACUGGAGGAAGCUGGGGGAGUUGGCAAUGCAGGGCUGACCCACAGAGAAGGAGAGAAGGAAGGAGGGUGGGGUGGAAUCGUCCUAGACUGCCAUGCAGUGGAGGGAGGCACUACAAGGCUCUGGGGACUCCUGGAGCCAAAGGCAGUUCUCAGAGCAGCUUGUUAUCUGUCAGGUGGUAGCUGGGAGCGGCCUUCAGAAAGCGUGACCUUGGCACACACACUGCCAUCCAUUGAUCCAUUUCAGAUCCCAGCAGAGGAUGUCGUUGGUCAAUCACACUCACCCCUCUCCCCACUAGAGAAUGCUCAGAAAUAUUGGAAGGGCACUGGAUUUCCCACAAGUCGUGGAGGGAGUGGCAAAUUCAAAUUCUCCUGAGGCAAAGGCAGUUAACACCAGUAUAUAAGGCCAGCCUGGUGGGGACCGAGGUGAGUGGGAAGCAAUGGCCUCAUCUGAAAGGGGCGUCAUUGGCUGCUGCCACACAGGAGUGUGGACUGCAAUCACCAGGUCUCCUGGACAUCUAGGACAUUCCAAAGUUUCAGGAUCAAGACGGGAUCUACAGCCAUGGGACUGAAUGGAAUCCCCUGGAGAGUAAAUGCAGAAAGAAAACUAAAGGUCCAAGAACAGAGGCCAAGCCCACUGUCACUGUCACAGGGUGGCUUCAGGCGAUCAUUCAAAUACAGGUUUACAAAAGAAGUGAUCCUUCCUAAAAAACCCACAGCCAAAGAGUCAGAAGGACCACUCAAGGAGGCAGCCCCUGCCCCCCCCCCGACACACACUCAAGCCAUUCACUUACCUCCCAGAAAGCAGAAUCUUGAGAAAUUUCAUCCUGAAGAACACACGUACAAUGUUCCUUUUUUCUGUCACCAUUUAUUUCAUGAUUUUACCUCAGCCGUGAACUUCACAGUCCUGUUCGUGACUGUUACAUUUCACUUCCUCCCCUCUGGGCCAAGCAGACAUUCCUGGGUGGCCACUGUUCAGCCUUAGAAGGUAUUCAUCAAUUUUAUAUGAUCACAUUUCAGCAUUUGAGGUUCUGCAAGAAGAGUUCUGUUGUUGACACCAUUGGGUCAACUGGAGACUCCACAGAGUUGCCACAGAGCUGCAGUAUGGAGCAUUGGUUUCUUUCUUGAGUUGUGCUAACAAAAUUAAAGAUACGAAUUUAACUGGUCUCGAAUGGACUGUAUGAGUUAGCACUUGCCACAAUACUACUGCAAAACAAAACACCUCACAAUCAGUGUCUGCAACAAUAAACAUGUAUUUCCAACUCUCA